UGCCUACGGGAGGCAGCAGUGAGGAAUAUUGGUCAAUGGCCGAGAGGCUGAACCAGCCAAGUCGCGUGAGGGAUGACGGCCCUACGGGUUGUAAACCUCUUUUGUCGGGGAGCAAAGAGAGUCACGUGUGGCUCAUUGAGAGUACCCGAAGAAAAAGCAUCGGCUAACUCCGUGCCAGCAGCCGCGGUAAUACGGAAGGUCCGGGCGUUAUCCGGAUUUAUUGGGUUUAAAGGGAGCGUAGGCCGGCUUUUAAGUCAGCUGUGAAAGUCCGCGGCUCAACCGUGGAAUUGCAGUUGAAACUGGAG
rnacentral:rRNA from 1 species